ACAGUCACACGAGUUUUGAUCAUGGCUCAGAAUGAACGUUGGCGGCGUGGAUUAGGCAUGCAAGUCGAGCGCUCAUAGCAAUAUGGGAGCGGCGAACGGCGUAGUAAUAUGUAGGAACGUACCCUCGGGUCGGGGAUAGCCAUGGGAAACUGUGGGUAAUACCCGAUAAUCUCUGCGGAGCAAAGGUGUGAUUCCGCCUGAGGAGCGGCCUACACGAUAUUAGCUAGUUGGUAGGGUAAUGGCCUACCAAGGCUACGAUGUCUAGGGGGUGUGAGAGCAUGGCCCCCACGACCGGAACUGAGAUACUGUCCGGACACCUACGGGUGGCUGCAGUCGAGAAUCUUCGGCAAUGGGCGCAAGCCUGACCGAGCAACGCCGCGUGCGGGAUGAAGGCCCUUGGGUUGUAAACCGCUGUCAGGGGGGAUGAAAGCGCAAGCUUGACAGAGCCCCAGACGGAAGCACGGGCUAAGUUCGUG
rnacentral:rRNA from 1 species